GCACUGCUGAGGAGCCACACAAUAGGGCGAAACGACCGUCCAGUGC
rnacentral:hammerhead_ribozyme from 1 species